rnacentral:rRNA from 1 species
AGAGUUUGAUCCUGGCUCAGGAUGAACGCUAGCGGCAGGCCUAAUACAUGCAAGUCGAGGGGUAACAGGAAGUGCUUGCGCUUCGCUGACGACCGGCGCACGGGUGAGUAUCGCGUAUACAAUCUGCCUCAUACUAGGGAAUAGCCCGAAGAAAUUUGGAUUAAUGCCCUAUAGUAUCUUUUUAAGGCAUCUUAUUAAGAUUAAAGGUUACGGUAUGAGAUGAGUAUGCGUUCUAUUAGCUAGUAGGUGUGGUAACGGCACACCUAGGCUACGAUAGAUAGGGGCCCUGAGAGGGGGAUCCCCCACACUGGUACUGAGACACGGACCAGACUCCUACGGGAGGCAGCAGUAAGGAAUAUUGGUCAAUGGACGAAAGUCUGAACCAGCCAUGCCGCGUGCAGGAUGACUGCCCUAUGGGUUGUAAACUGCUUUUAUAUAGGAAGAAAAACUUUCUCGUGAGAAAGCUUGACGGUACUAUAAGAAUAAGGAUCGGCUAACUCCGUGCCAGCAGCCGCGGUAAUACGGAGGAUCCAAGCGUUAUCCGGAAUCAUUGGGUUUAAAGGGUCCGUAGGUGGACAAAUAAGUCAGAGGUGAAAUCCUGCAGCUCAACUGUAGAACUGCCUUUGAUACUGUUUGUCUUGAGUUAUUAUGAAGUGGUUAGAAUGUGUAGUGUAGCGGUGAAAUGCAUAGAUAUUACACAGAAUACCGAUUGCGAAGGCAGAUCACUAAUAAUCAACUGACACUGAUGGACGAAAGCGUGGGUAGCGAACAGGAUUAGAUACCCUGGUAGUCCACGCCGUAAACGAUGGUCACUAGCUGUUUGGACUUCGGUCUGAGUGGCUAAGCGAAAGUGAUAAGUGACCCACCUGGGGAGUACGUUCGCAAGAAUGAAACUCAAAGGAAUUGACGGGGGCCCGCACAAGCGGUGGAGCAUGUGGUUUAAUUCGAUGAUACGCGAGGAACCUUACCAGGGCUUAAAUGUUAGGUGACAGAUCUAGAAAUAGAUUUUUCUUCGGACAC